rnacentral:rRNA from 1 species
UAAAUAUGACCACGAGACCGAUAGCGAACAAGUACCGUGAGGGAAAGUUGAAAAGCACUUUGAAGAGAGAGUUCAAGAGUACGUGAAACCGUUUAGGGGUAAACCUGAGAAACCCGAAAGGUCGAAGGGAGAAAUUCAUUCGCGUUUCGCCGUUGGCGUGAAGCGGUCGCGUGACGAAAAACGUUCGCGCGUUUUUCGCGCCUGCCGUUUUUCGAUCCGACGGCGAACGCGUGCACUUUUCUCCUGGUAGGACGUCGCGAUCCGUUGGGUGUCGGUCUACGGCUCGCGGUGGAGCCCGGAUGUGUUUC